GAGUCAUUGUAGCAAUACAAGGCAGACGGCUCAGUAACGCGUAGUCAAUCUACCCUAUGGACGGGAAUAACCUCGGGAAACUGAGAAUAAUGCCCGAUAGAACAUUAUGCCUGGAAUGGUUUAUGUUUCAAAUGAUUUAUCGCCAUAGGAUGGGACUGCGGCCUAUCAGUUUGUUGGUGAGGUAAUGGCCCACCAAGACUAUUACAGGUACGGGCUCUGAGAGGAGUAGCCCGGAGAUGGGUACUGAGACACGGACCCAGGCCCUAUGGGGCGCAGCAGGCGAGAAAACUUUGCAAUGUGCGAAAGCACGACAAGGUUAAUCCGAGUGGUUUCUGCUAAAGAAACCUUUUGUCAGUCCUAGAAACACUGAUGAAUAAGGGGUGGGCAAGUUCUGGUGUCAGCCGCCGCGGUAAAACCAGCACCUCAAGUGGUCAGGAUGAUUAUUGGGCCUAAAGCAUCCGUAGCUCGUUUUGUAAGUUUUCGGUUAAAUCCAUGCGCUUAACGUAUGGGCUGCCGGGAAUACUGCAUAACUAGGAAGUGGGAGAGGUAGACGGUACUCGGUAGGAAGGGGUAAAAUCCUUUGAUCUAUUGAUGACCACCUGUGGCGAAGGCGGUCUACCAGAACACGUUCGACGGUGAGAGAUGAAAGCUGGGGGAGCAAACCGGAUUAGAUACCCGGGUAGUCCCAGCUGUAAACUAUGCAAACUCAGUGAUGCAUUGGCUUGUGGCCAAUGCAGUGCUGCAGGGAAGCCGUUAAGUUUGCCGCCU
rnacentral:rRNA from 1 species